AACUUUCUCCUUUCUUGAGCCUCUUCUCCGGGUUUUGCUUUAAUGGCUGGAGUAAAGCAAAAAGAAACGUGGUUCCGGCUGUGGAAAUGCCAGGAGGAGUUCUGGAAGGUUCUGUGCGGAGCCUCGGUGCCCCUCAGUGCCGCCCCGCGUGCCCGCACUGUGCGCUCAUAGCGGCGCUUCCACGGGGUUACGGUUCUCCUCACGAGGAGCCGCCCACCCCCGCUGGGGGCUCAGCUGUGCCCGUGGGAGGGGGACCCGCAGCCCCCCGGCACCCCUGGAGCCGGUGCUGUGCGGAGAUCCGUGCUCGUGGUGCGUUAUUCAACGUGGAGGCUGUGAAUUGUGGAAGUUGUGAUGCUUUACAACGUGAUAUGCUUGUGAUGACAUCUGAAGUGAAUGCGGGGCUAAUCCUGCUCCCACCUCUCGGCCAGGCAGGGGCUGCAGUCACGUUCCCAGCACACGGGUUCUGCACGCCACGGAGAGCAGCCAGCAGGUGUUUGUGGGAGGAGCUGCAGUCCAGAGACCUGACCUCAGGAUGUGUUUGACAUCCUGUACUGCUGGUGACAAGAGGAAGACAAGAGGCAACAUUGUAUGAGGCUACUGAAAAUAGCAAAUCAAACAGUUGGUCAGGAAACCAGCUGAGGACUGUGCCAUCCACUGAACUGGGAAGAGUCUCCAUUCCCUGGCUCUCACUCGUCCUUCCAUACAUGGAGGUACAGAAGAGAUGAUGAAAGCAUUCUUGUGCGCUGGGAUUCCUGUUCUCCUAUGGGAGCUCAUUCUAGUCUGCAUUCUUGUGGCUGUGCUGCUCAACUUGAUGUAGCUGUUCCUGCUGUGAUCUUCAGUGAACAUCACUGUGAUUGCUGACAGCUUGCAGAAAUAGUAAGUGUUGUCCUCUAUCUUUGCAUCUCGCUGCUUUUCUAUCAUAAAGUGUCCGUGGGUGCGGUCAUGCGAAGGAACCGGAGUGCUCUGCAGUGUGUGUGGGCUUUGUCCCCUGUUCCUCACAGCUUGUCACUGGGAGGAUCUGCAGCAUUAGAUUAACAGGGGGUGCGGAAACCAGCAGCCCCUGUGAGCUGCAGGCAGGACUCACGUGUGGCCUCACACCUGAAGUGUAUGAAGGUAUCUUUCCAAAAUGUCUCUGAGCUCAACCACACAAAGCAGGUGAGGUUGUGUCGAGGAAUAACUUCAAGACUAAUAAGCAGGAAGGAAGGAUGUUCUCUUUUCUUGUGGUGUUUCAGUUGACCCUUCUGACUUAACCUUACAUUACAGCAGGCCUGGCAGUACUUUCUCAUAGUACUUUUUAAAAUGUGUGUGCAUGUGUGUCUGUGGCUUUAUAGAGGCCUUACAGCUAUAGGUUGUACACGUGGUCCAGCUGUGCUUCGUGCGCAGGUUUUCCCAGCAGUGCAGACGCACCACCCAGCUGUACCGCAUGGAAGCGAAAAGGUGCUGGACGUACUGGAGGGCAGAGUAUGUCCUCUGACAUCGCUACAGCACAUUUACAUAGGGGAGGACAUGUGAGGGAAGGAGGGGGAAGGCUGAGCACGUAGGGACACGUACGGGACGCACAGAGCGAGCAGCUGUGUGCAGGCACUGCGCUCGGGACGUGUAACGAGGAGGUGCUGCCGGUAGCGAUCCUCCGUGGGGUUCCUCCCGGGGCGACCUCCGCGACGGGGCGCGGAGCCGAGGGG